rnacentral:rRNA from 1 species
GUAGGGAAGAAGCGAAAGUGACGGUACCUGCAGAAAGAAGCGCCGGCUAACUACGUGCCAGCAGCCGCGGUAAUACGUAGGGCGCAAGCGUUAUCCGGAAUUAUUGGGCGUAAAGAGCUCGUAGGCGGUUUGUCGCGUCUGCCGUGAAAGUCCGGGGCUCAACUCCGGAUCUGCGGUGGGUACGGGCAGACUAGAGUGAUGUAGGGGAGACUGGAAUUCCUGGUGUAGCGGUGAAAUGCGCAGAUAUCAGGAGGAACACCGAUGGCGAAGGCAGGUCUCUGGGCAUUAACUGACGCUGAGGAGCGAAAGCAUGGGGAGCGAACAGGAUUAGAUACCCUGGUAGUCCAUGCCGUAAACGUUGGGCACUAGGUGUGGGGGACAUUCCACGUUUUCCGCGCCGUAGCUAACGCAUUAAGUGCCCCGCCUGGGGAGUACGGCCGCAAGGCUAAAACUCAAAGGAAUUGACGGGGGCCCGCACAAGCGGCGGAGCAUGCGGAUUAAUUCGAUGCAACGCGAAGAACCUUACCAAGGCUUGACAUGGGCCGGACCGGGCUGGAAACAGUCCUUCCCCUUUGGGGCCGGUUCACAGGUGGUGCAUGGUUGUCGUCAGCUCGUGUCGUGAGAUGUUGGGUUAAGUCCCGCAACGAGCGCAACCCUCGUUCCAUGUUGCCAGCGCGUAAUGGCGGGGACUCAUGGGAGACUGCCGGGGUCAACUCGGAGGAAGGUGGGGACGACGUCAAAUCAUCAUGCCCCUUAUGUCUUGGGCUUCACGCAUGCUACAAUGGCCGGUACAAAGGGUUGCGAUACUGUGAGGUGGAGCUAAUCCCAAAAAGCCGGUCUCAGUUCGGAUUGGGGUCUGCAACUCGACCCCAUGAAGUCGGAGUCGCUAGUAAUCGCAGAUCAGCAACGCUGCGGUGAAUACGUUCCCGGGCCUUGUACACACCGCCCGUCAAGUCACGAAAGUUGGUAACACCCGAAGCCGGUGGCCUAACCCCUUGUGGGAGGGAGCUGUCGAAGGUGAAUCG